rnacentral:lncRNA from 1 species
AAGACCUUGUGGGAAUUUUUUGUCUGGCUUUGCUCUCUGAAGUGGUCUGUUGAUCUGAGUGCAUGGUAUUUCUGUACAUAGCUCUUUUAUGUUCUGAUGCAUAGUGUACAAGUUAACUUUGCAUUCAGGACGUGUUUUUUCUAGGCACAACCUGGGAUAUAGAAAUCCUUUGGGCUACAUGCUGGAAGUGAGGCCCAGUUUCUGUGGCACGCUGCCACAUCUCUUUUGAUUAGGAAGCUAACGGCUGGAUAACUUCUGAAAACAGGAAGGACAAUCUGCUCUUCUAUCCAGAGCAGCUGGGACCCAGGAUGUGCAAGGAAUGAGCAUCCCCAGUCUUUGUACCAGUUUCUUCUUCACAGCAGAUCUUGUGUCACAGUAGAUGAAUGCCAGGACCAACAAGCCAGCAUCAAGGCUGCAAUUUGGCUUCAACAGAAAAGUGAAAGAAUCUGAAUAAACUGAAACUCACAUUUCCAUCAUUAAGAACCAUACCUAUGACUGCCAUAGCAAAUAAAGGAAAUGCAUAAUAUAGUACA